rnacentral:lncRNA from 10 species
GGGCACCCAAGUGAAGGAUCCUGCUGUGUACUCAGGGGCUGGUGUUGCUGUCAGGGAUGUUAGCCUAGAGCCUCAGCUUCCUGUAAAAUGAGGAUGAUGAUAUCCAACAGCUUAUGGGACCUUGAAGUCCCAGCAUUUUUCAUCUUUCAAUCUCACCUCCUUUUCCUGAUAAUAGAGAGGCAACAAGAACUCAGGGCAUGCAAUGGGGCUCAACUUCUACUCUCUGCCACAAUUUCAUCAUGAUUCCCCCAAAGAGCAGAGCCCCAGGAGCCAGCAGGGGGCAGGGUGGGCAUUUCUGGACUGGAUUCAUUCAUAAUAAGAUCAAAAUUUCCAAUCCGUAUGUCUCGGGUGCCAUCUGCUGAUAGAUCGGACCAGAUG